UACGUAGGUGGCAAGCGUUGUCCGGAUUUAUUGGGUUUAAAGGGUGCGUAGGCGGCUCCUUAAGUCAGUGCUGAAAUACUCUAGCUUAACUAGAGGGGUGGCAUUGAUACUGAGGAGCUUGAGUAGAGUCGAGGUAGGCGGAAUUGACGGUGUAGCGGUGAAAUGCUUAGAUAUCGUCAAGAACACCGAUAGUGUAGACAGCUUACUAGGCUUCAACUGACGCUGAGGCACGAAAGUGUGGGGAUCAAACAGG
rnacentral:rRNA from 1 species